rnacentral:rRNA from 1 species
GACGAACGCUGGCGGCGUGCUUAACACAUGCAAGUCGAACGGAAAGGCCCUUCUGGCGGUGUACGCGAGUGGCAAACGGGUGUGUAACACGUGGGAGAUCCGCACUACACUUCGGGAUAAGCCUGGGAAACGUGGUCUAAUAGCAUAUAUGCUCCUGCUGUAUGGUGGGGGUUGGAAAGUUUUGUCGGUGUGGGAUGAACUCGCGGCCUAUCAGCUUGUUGGUGGGGUAAUGGCCUACCAAGGCGGCGACGGGUAGCCGGCCUGAGAGGGUGGACGGCCACAUUGGGACUGAGAUACGGCCCAGACUCCUACGGGAGGCAGCAGUGGGGAAUAUUGCACAAUGGGCGCAAGCCUGAUGCAGCAACGCCGCGUGCGGGAUGACGGCCUUCGGGUUGUAAACCGCUUUCGCCAGGGACGAAGCUUUUUGUGACGGUACCUAGAGAAGAAGCACCGGCUAACUACGUG